rnacentral:piRNA from 1 species
AUCUUGGUAAGGGGUAGUAGUUGAG